AUUGAACGCUGGCGGCAGGCCUAACACAUGCAAGUCGAGCGAGCGGCGGACGGGUGAGUAAUGUCUGGGAAACUGCCUGAUGGAGGGGGAUAACUACUGGAAACGGUAGCUAAUACCGCAUACCAUCAGAUGUGCCCAGAUGGGAUUAGCUAGUUGGUGGGGUACAGGCUCACCACGGCGACGAUCCCUAGCUGGUCUGAGAGGAUGACCAGCCACACUGGAACUGAGAAACGGUCCAGACUCCGACGGGAGGCAGCAGGGGGGAAUAUUGCACAAGGGGCGCAAGCCUGAUGCAGCCAUGCCGCGUGGGUGAAGAAGGCCUUCGGGUUGUAAAGCACUUUGAGCGAGGAGGCGUUACUCGCAGAAGAAGCACCGGCUAACUCCGUGCCAGCAGCCGCGGUAAUAC
rnacentral:rRNA from 1 species